CCCAGCACCAGGAUUCCCAGGUAUUCCAAUCAGUACUCAGGACAGGACACAGACAACUCACUAUGAAGUUUGUGCUUGGCUGGGUUUUUCUUGUUGCUCUUUUAAAAGGUGUUCAGGGUGAGGUGCAGCUGGUGGAUUCUGGGGGAGACCUGGUGAAGCCUGGGGGAGGGGUGUCCCUGAGACUCUUCUGUGCAGCCUCUGGAUUCAACUUCAGCAGCUACAACAUGGACUGGGUCCGCCAGGCUCCAGGGAAGGGGCUGCAGUGGGUCUCAUAUAUUAGCAGUGGUGGAAGCACAUACUAUGCGGACUCUGUUAAGGGCCGAUUCACCAUCUCCAGAGACAAUGACAAGAACAAGCUGUAUCUGCAGAUGAACAGCCUGAAAGCCGAGGACAUGGCCCUGUAUUACUGUGCAAGAGACACAUCUUCUCUCUUUUCUUUUGGAUUAGAUUGGCUAGUGGUUUAUUAA